CAGUUCGGAUUAUAGUCUGCAACUCGACACAUGAAGCUGGAAUCGCUAGUAAUCGCGGAUCAGAAUGCCGCGGUGAAUACGUUCCCGGGUCUUGUACACACCGCCCGUCACACCAUGGGAGGCCGGAAAUGCCCGAAGUCUGUGACUCAACCGAGGAGGGGAGAGCAGCCGAAGGUGGAGCUGGUAACUGGGGGUGAAGUCGUAACAAGGUAAC
rnacentral:rRNA from 1 species